rnacentral:miRNA from 1 species
UGAUGAUGAUGAUGAUGAUGAUGAUGAUGACGAUUUGGUUGUGUCAAAUAUUACCAUCAUCAUCGUCCGCUCAC